GACGAACGCUGGCGGCGUGCUUAAUACAUGCAAGUCAACGACUUUUAGAGUAGCAAUAUUUAAAAGGAGUGGCGCACGGGUGAGUAACACGUAGGUAAUCUGCCUUCAGGACUGACACAACUCGUCGAAAGACGGGCUAAUAUCAGAUAAUGCAGCGGCUCCGCAUGGAGACAGUUGUUAAAGUACAAGCGCCUGAAGAUGAGCCUGCGGUCCAUUAGCUAGUUGGUAGAGUAACAGCCUACCAAGGCAACGAUGGAUAGCUGGUCUGAGAGGAUGAUCAGCCACACUGGAACUGAGACACGGUCCAGACUCCUACGGGAGGCAGCAGUAAGGAAUAUUGCUCAAUGGCCGAAAGGCUGAAGACAGCAAACGCCGCGUGAAGGAUGAAUAGGCCUUUGG
rnacentral:rRNA from 1 species